AUUUGUGCUAAAAAGUGUUGAUAACACAAGGACGUUUUCACUACUGUUGAGCAGAGAUUACACUCUUCUGCCUCCCACCCCACCAGUGAGGAGGCUUGGAAUGCACAAGAAGUUGGGGGGAACACAGCCAGGAGAACUGACCUCAAGAGACCACAGGGAUAUAUGCCAGACCAUAUGGAGUCAUGCUUAGUAGAUAAAGCUGGGAGAAGAAGAAAGGAGGGGACAUUCAGAGUGAUGGUGUUUGUCUUCUCAUGCCACUGUUCCACAUCAUGGAGCCCUGCUUUCCUGGAGAUGGCUGAGCACCUGCCUGCCCAUGGAAUGUGGUAAAAGAAUUCUUUGGUUUGCUUUGCAUGCAUGUGUGGCUUUUGCUUUAUCUGCUAAACUGUCUCAGCCCACAGGUUUUCUCACUUUUACCCUUCUGAUUAUCUGCCCCAUCCCACCAGGAAGGAGGAAGUGCAUAGCUAGCUGGGGUUAAAUCACAACUCUUGGCCAUUUUAAAACCAUGCGGAUGCUUUUCAAAAUUGGCAAGUGCACCCAGGUAAAGAGCAGUUACACAUUAAAUGUUAACUGUUAAAGAUCAACCAACAAUUUCUUCUCAACUUUGCUCUGAAACCUUGGCUUCUGCCAAAGAUAGUGGAGGCUGUAUCAGUGAUUCACUAGCCAUAUAUAUCACUCAACCAGGAAAUUCCAUGACUGCCAAGUUUAACAAAGGGAAUGCAAUUCACAUUAAUUAUUAACUAAAGUCUCAUUUCAGAAAAUGCUAUAAAUUGCUUAGGACUCACACAAGGUUUUCUUACAUGCUGACAGAAAACUGAGCAGAAAGGGAACCUAGAGACCUCCUCCAUUGAUGUGAUCCAGCUCUGCAGCCUCCUUAGUUCCAGCAAAGGCACGCAGCCUGCACAAGCAGCUUGAAUAUGGUAGGAACUGAAGUAACCGGUGAAGAACAAGCACAGGCAGCAAACGAUUCAAGAACAAUACGGGAGGAAUAACUGUGCCUAGCAAGCCUGUCCCAAAGAUAA